GACAACAUGGGAUUAUGUGCAUACACACAAGCACGUGUACACACAUGAACGCCACACAGGACCUCAGAGAGUGGCCGGCCCACAUGAACUGCUAGUCACCACUAUUUGUAUUGUCAGAGACUUACUGGAUACUGCACGCAUACUCACGAGUCCUCACCACCUCCUGUCUGGUGAUAGGUCUUAUUGUUGCAAGCACACAGCUGGAGCCUCUCCCAUCCCCCAUCCUGUGUCAGGGUUUCUGGGACUCUGUGCUUGGUGGGACUUGCUAAGAAGACCUCUGAUCCGGAGGUGGGGGAACAGGCUUAGGGUAGAACAGAGACCAGAAGGUUCAGUAUGGGUGUCCUAAGUUCUUGCAAACUGUGAGGAGAAACACCGUUCAUUUUGUGGUCAAAUCUAGCCUUUGCUGCCUGUGAUUCCUGAAAAUAUUUUCUAAAGUUGGCUGAGACCUCCCCAGUGCUAGGACAGAGGGCUGCCCAGACCCACAUCCUCUCUGGGGUAGCAGGGAGGCUACACCUGGCAAGUGGGUGGCAGGUGGGGAGCGGGAACUUGGGCUCCCUCUAGUGAGGCGGUGGAGCAGUGCAGAAAACACCAGCAUCUUAGGCACAAAGCAACCUCGAAAGAACUUCCUUCCCAUCAAGAAGAUGAUGGGGUUGAGUGAAUCCUGGUCAAAAAUGGCACCUCCUGUGGCUACCAAGGACAGCGACAACUCCGCAGCAGAGCUGUCUGGAAUGCUCACUCUUUUGUGGUACUUGCCUCUAACCUGAACUUCCCCAGCUGUGCACGUACACAUCCCUGGGUCUAGCCCCAUGUAGCUCAACCCCCAGGCCUCCACUGGAGGUGGCCUCCUCACCUUCCUUUUUGCCACACCAGGCACAUACUUCUUUUUCUUCUGGGCCUGUUGGGCUUGCCCUGGACCCCAGCCUGCCCACCACCACCACCCCUGGGCUAGGGGCAGGGGUGUGUAGAUCAUGACAAAGAUUGGUCCUGACUCCCAUUUCCAGGCUCAGCUUUGCCUCCUGGAAACACCACCCAGUAUUUUUGGAGCCACUUAGCAUCCUAAUGAUUAGCAAACUAUUGCAACCAGAUGCCUAGGCUCUGCUGAGUCAGCAAAGGUCCCAACAGCAGUGAGGAGCAGACCCUGGCCAGUGUACCUGGGAACAAGUCACAUGACCUCUCAGGGCUGCAGUCUCCUUGUCUAAAAAUUGAAACAACUGAGGUUAAAACGGACAAAAUAUGGGAAAGCACUCUGGGAAGUAUCAUACACAAGCUGUUGUUGAUAUUUCUAUUAUGUCUGAAACAGAGAAGUCAGCUCAGAUGCCUUAUCCUUUAAGACUCAAAUGGCUUUU
rnacentral:lncRNA from 1 species